rnacentral:SRP_RNA from 1 species
GCCGGGCACAGUGGCACGUGCCUGUAGUCCCAGCUACUUGGGAGGCUGAGGUGGGAGGAUCGCUUGAGCCCAGGAGUUCUAGGCUGUAGUGCGCUAUGCCGAUCGGCCGUCUGCACUAAGUUCAGCAUCAAUAUGGUGACCUCCCGGGAGCGGGGACCACCAGUUUGCCUAAGGAGGGGAUGAACUGGCCCAGGUCGGAAACGGAGCAGGUCAAACUCCCGUGCUGAUCAGUAGUGGGAUCACACCUGUGAAUAGUCACUGCUUUCCAGCCUGGGCAACAUAGCAAGACCCCAUCUCU